rnacentral:rRNA from 1 species
CACUGUUUCGGCAAGGGGGUCAUCCCGACUUACCAACCCGAUGCAAACUGCGAAUACCGGAGAAUGUUAUCACGGGAGACACACGGCGGGUGCUAACGUCCGUCGUGAAGAGGGAAACAACCCAGACCGCCAGCUAAGGUCCCAAAGUCAUGGUUAAGUGGGAAACGAUGUGGGAAGGCCCAGACAGCCAGGAUGUUGGCUUAGAAGCAGCCAUCAUUUAAAGAAAGCGUAAUAGCUCACUGGUCGAGUCGGCCUGCGCGGAAGAUGUAACGGGGCUAAACCAUGCACCGAAGCUGCGGCAGCGACGCUUAUGCGUUGUUGGGUAGGGGAGCGUUCUGUAAGCCUGUGAAGGUGUGCUGUGAGGCAUGCUGGAGGUAUCAGAAGUGCGAAUGCUGACAUAAGUAACGAUAAAGCGGGUGAAAAGCCCGCUCGCCGGAAGACCAAGGGUUCCUGUCCAACGUUAAUCGGGGCAGGGUGAGUCGACCCCUAAGGCGAGGCCGAAAGGCGUAGUCGAUGGGAAACAGGUUAAUAUUCCUGUACUUGGUGUUACUGCGAAGGGGGGACGGAGAAGGCUAUGUUGGCCGGGCGACGGUUGUCCCGGUUUAAGCGUGUAGGCUGGUUUUCCAGGCAAAUCCGGAAAAUCAAGGCUGAGGCGUGAUGACGAGGCACUACGGUGCUGAAGCAACAAAUGCCCUGCUUCCAGGAAAAGCCUCUAAGCAUCAGGUAACAUCAAAUCGUACCCCAAACCGACACAGGUGGUCAGGUAGAGAAUACCAAGGCGCUUGAGAGAACUCGGGUGAAGGAACUAGGCAAAAUGGUGCCGUAACUUCGGGAGAAGGCACGCUGAUAUGUAGGUGAAGCGACUUGCUCGUGGAGCUGAAAUCAGUCGAAGAUACCAGCUGGCUGCAACUGUUUAUUAAAAACACAGCACUGUGCAAACACGAAAGUGGACGUAUACGGUGUGACGCCUGCCCGGUGCCGGAAGGUUAAUUGAUGGGGUUAGCGGUAACGCGAAGCUCUUGAUCGAAGCCCCGGUAAACGGCGGCCGUAACUAUAACGGUCCUAAGGUAGCGAAAUUCCUUGUCGGGUAAGUUCCGACCUGCACGAAUGGCGUAAUGAUGGCCAGGCUGUCUCCACCCGAGACUCAGUGAAAUUGAACUCGCUGUGAAGAUGCAGUGUACCCGCGGCAAGACGGAAAGACCCCGUGAACCUUUACUAUAGCUUGACACUGAACAUUGAGCCUUGAUGUGUAGGAUAGGUGGGAGGCUUUGAAGUGUGGACGCCAGUCUGCAUGGAGCCGGCCUUGAAAUACCACCCUUUAAUGUUUGAUGUUCUAACGUUGGCCCCUGAUCGGGGUUGCGGACAGUGUCUGGUGGGUAGUUUGACUGGGGCGGUCUCCUCCUAAAGAGUAACGGAGGAGCACGAAGGUUGGCUAAUCCUGGUCGGACAUCAGGAGGUUAGUGCAAUGGCAUAAGCCAGCUUGACUGCGAGCGUGACGGCGCGAGCAGGUGCGAAAGCAGGUCAUAGUGAUCCGGUGGUUCUGAAUGGAAGGGCCAUCGCUCAACGGAUAAAAGGUACUCCGGGGAUAACAGGCUGAUACCGCCCAAGAGUUCAUAUCGACGGCGGUGUUUGGCACCUCGAUGUCGGCUCAUCACAUCCUGGGGCUGAAGUAGGUCCCAAGGGUAUGGCUGUUCGCCAUUUAAAGUGGUACGCGAGCUGGGUUUAGAACGUCGUGAGACAGUUCGGUCCCUAUCUGCCGUGGGCGCUGGAGAACUGAGGGGGGCUGCUCCUAGUACGAGAGGACCGGAGUGGACGCAUCACUGGUGUU